CUGACCCAAGAUUGGUUUUCUCUCUGUAAAUACAGGCAGAAUUUGGGUUGAGGCUUUUAUGUGUAGCAAUUAAAAAAGCAGGGAAAACUUGGCUUCCGCUCAUCCCUGAGCUCAGGUUUCGCUUGUUUUGUUGUUUGUGGAACAGUUUAGGGUGUUUAGAUGUGAGUGGCCAGGUGUUUCCAAUAUUGAACCUCUUCGUGUGGAAACGUGCACAGAUAAGAGAGCUCAGCCUGUCACAAGCCUUGGUGGUGUUCAUUCAGCGUUUGAAGUUCUGACUUGAAAGGACUGACUUCUGAGCAAUCGAGGCACAGAGUCCCAGCCCCUCUCUUUCAGCAGGAACUCUGGGACAGAGGUUCAGAUUAGGAGCUGGAUUAGUUCUCCAGUGAGUACCCCGUGCCUCGGUGGGAGCUGAGUGAGGGUUUCAGCUCCACAGUUCUGCUUAGUCUUGGACCUCCCCCCUGAGGAGGAAAGGUCAGUAUUUAUGCCCUUAGCACCUUGUGGAUAACUAUGAUGUUGUUUCUUGCUUUCUUGUAUUUUCAUCUUUGGAAAGUUAGAGGGUUUUCUUCAAAAUGCAUUGUUACUGAAGUUGAGCUGUCUUAAAUCUUGCAAAGAUUAUAGUUUGUAGUUCUGUAACUUUUCAAAUUUGGAAUGAGUUAAAACUUUCAUUUCAACUAAAGUUCUCUACUCUGUGCUUUAAAAUCCAGGCAGAUUUGCACCCCUAUAGCUAAAUAAAUUAAAGAAUUAGGAGAAUUCAGUGAUAAAUUGUGAAAAAGGCAGCCCUGGUGUUUUUUUUCUUUUUUUUUUUUUUCUCCCUGUGCUCUUCACGUGUGUUUAAGCUGUUUAAGUUUUUCUUACUUUUCUGCUUUCCCUGCAAACAGUGUUUAUUCAUCCUAGGAAAACAUCAGUUGGGUAAACAGAAGUAUUUGUCUGUGUAGCACUGCAACUCCUACUAAGAUGCAAAUUGUGCUGCAGGGAAGAUAGUUUGGGCUUUUCUUUCCUCCUUGCUUUUCUUUUUUGACAGUCGGUUAAUAAAGACUCAACAAUAAGCAGCUGCCUGUGAUGUCAUUUGGGACUUUGUCCACAGAGCUUGUAUUUACAAGUACUGAGCAACUCCACAGCAGCAGCAACCCCAACUAUCAGCAAACUUCAUGUCUGCUGUUACUGGAGGACUUUGGUGCUGUGCAGGGUGUAGAAAGCUAACUCUGUUCUUCUAACCACAGACUUUUAAAGCUUGGUAAAUAAACACUGGAUAAACUCAAGAGAAUUUCUGCGCUGCAAAGACUUCUUACGGUUCUGAGCUCUCCAGGGCUGGCAUGUUUUGACUGAACUCCUGCAAUGAUGCUGAAAGCAGCCUGACAUUUCAGGUCGACCAAAAGGAAAACAAAUAACCUCAGCUAUGGAGAAAAAAAGACAGCUACAGAAAAGGGAAUUUGGGAAAAGACUUUCUCUGGACAGCAGUCUUGUGGAAUAUAUGGACUCCAACAAAUACAUAGAGCAUUUAGUGACUCAGCUGGAAGAGCAACGCUGGAAUUUAUGGAG